rnacentral:rRNA from 1 species
AGUGAACGCUGGCGGUAGGCCUAACACAUGCAAGUCGAACGGCAGCACAGUAAGAGCUUGCUCUUACGGGUGGCGAGUGGCGGACGGGUGAGGAAUACAUCGGAAUCUACUUUUUCGUGGGGGAUAACGUAGGGAAACUUACGCUAAUACCGCAUACGACCUACGGGUGAAAGCAGGGGAUCUUCGGACCUUGCGCGAUUGAAUGAGCCGAUGUCGGAUUAGCUAGUUGGCGGGGUAAAGGCCCACCAAGGCGACGAUCCGUAGCUGGUCUGAGAGGGUGAUCAGCCACACUGGAACUGAGACACGGUCCAGACUCCUACGGGAGGCAGCAGUGGGGAAUAUUGGACAAUGGGCGCAAGCCUGAUCCAGCCAUACCGCGUGGGUGAAGAAGGCCUUCGGGUUGUAAAGCCCUUUUGUUGGGAAAGAAAAGUAGCAGGUUAAUACCCCGCUGUUCUGACGGUACCCAAAGAAUAAGCACCGGCUAACUUCGUG